rnacentral:rRNA from 1 species
UACGAAGGGGGGCUAGCGUUGUUCGGAUUUACUGGGCGUAAAGCGCACGUAGGCGGAUUGUUAAGUCAGGGGUGAAAUCCUGGAGCUCAACUCCAGAACUGCCUUUGAUACUGGCAAUCUAGAGUCCGGAAGAGGUGAGUGGAACUCCUAGUGUAGAGGUGGAAUUCGUAGAUAUUAGGAAGAACACCAGUGGCGAAGGCGGCUCACUGGUCCGGUACUGACGCUGAGGUGCGAAAGCGUGGGGGAGCAAACAGG